UACGAAGGGGGCUAGCGUUGUUCGGAAUCACUGGGCGUAAAGCGCGCGUAGGCGGGUUAUUAAGUCGGGGGUGAAAGCCCAAGGCUCAACCUUGGAACUGCCUUCGAUACUGAUAGCCUUGAGUCCGGGAGAGGUGAGUGGAACUCCUAGUGUAGAGGUGAAAUUCGUAGAUAUUAGGAAGAACACCAGUGGCGAAGGCGGCUCACUGGCCCGGUACUGACGCUGAUGCGCGAAAGCGUGGGGAGCAAACAGG
rnacentral:rRNA from 1 species